CUACGGGAGGCACCAGUGGGGAAUAUUGCACAAUGGGCGCAAGCCUGAUGCAGCCAUGCCGCGUGUAUGAAGAAGGCCUUCGGGUUGUAAAGUACUUUCAGCGGGGAGGAAGGGAGUAAAGUUAAUACCUUUGCUCAUUGACGUUACCCGCAGAAGAAGCACCGCCAACUCCGUGCCAGCAGCCGCGGUAAUACGGAGGGUGCAAGCGUUAAUCGGAAUUACUGGGCGUAAAGCGCACGCAGGCGGUUUGUUAAGUCAGAUGUGAAAUCCCCGGGCUCAACCUGGGAACUGCAUCUGAUACUGGCAAGCUUGAGUCUCGUAGAGGGGGGUAGAAUUCCAGGUGUAGCGGUGAAAUGCGUAGAGAUCUGGAGGAAUACCGGUGGCGAAGGCGGCCCCCUGGACGAAGACUGACGCUCAGGUGCGAAAGCGUGGGGAGCAAACAGGAUUAGAUACCCUUGUAGUC
rnacentral:rRNA from 1 species